rnacentral:rRNA from 1 species
GACGAACGCUGGCGGCGUGCUUAACACAUGCAAGUCGAACGGUAAGGCCCUGCUUUUGUGGGGUGCUCGAGUGGCGAACGGGUGAGUAACACGUGAGUAACCUGCCCUUGACUUUGGGAUAACUUCAGGAAACUGGGGCUAAUACCGGAUAGGAGCUCCUGCUGCAUGGUGGGGGUUGGAAAGUUUCGGCGGUUGGGGAUGGACUCGCGGCUUAUCAGCUUGUUGGUGGGGUAGUGGCUUACCAAGGCUUUGACGGGUAGCCGGCCUGAGAGGGUGACCGGCCACAUUGGGACUGAGAUACGGCCCAGACUCCUACGGGAGGCAGCAGUGGGGAAUAUUGCACAAUGGGCGGAAGCCUGAUGCAGCAACGCCGCGUGCGGGGUGACGGCCUUCGGGUUGUAAACCGCUUUCGCCUGUGACGAAGCGUGAGUGACGGUAAUGGGUAAAGAAGCACCGGCUAACUACGUG